CCCUGAGAUGUUCUGGGCCACACGCGCACUACACUGACCGAGAGAGCGAGUUUGAUUCUCGCCUUGCGAGCCUGCCCAGUAGCGGGGUGGGAAACCUUCAAAACUCGGUCGUGAUGGGGACCGCAGAUUGCAAUUAUUCCUCGCGAACGAGGAAUGGCUCGUAGGCGCAGGUCAUCAACCUGCACUGAUUACGUCCCUGCCUUUUGUACACACCGCCCGUCGUUGCUACCGAUUGGGUGGGCGCUAGAGCUCGAUGGACCGCCCGUGGGUCUCUCGGGAUCCGCGUGGUGGGAAGUUGCGCAAUAUCGUCCAUCUAGAGGAAGCAAAANUCGUAACA
rnacentral:rRNA from 1 species